GACGUAGGGCGCGAGCGUUGUCCGGAUUUAUUGGGCGUAAAGAGCUCGUAGGCGGCUUGUCGCGUCGUGUGUGAAAUCUCAGGGCUCAACUCUGACAUUGCAUACGAUACGGGCAGGCUUGAGUUCGGUAGGGGAGACUGGAAUUCCUGGUGUAGCGGUGAAAUGCGCAGAUAUCAGGAGGAACACCGAUGGCGAAGGCAGGUCGUCUGGGCCGAUACUGACGCUGAGGAGCGAAAGCGUGGGGAGCGAACAGG
rnacentral:rRNA from 1 species